UAGGAGCAGGAGCAGGAGCAGCAGCAGCAGCAGCAGUAGAGAAGCAGCAGACAGCAGCAGCAGUAGAGGCAGCAGUAGAGGCAGCAGCAGCAGCAGUAAUAUUAAGAGGUUUCCCAAGAGGAGCAGUGGUAGAAGGAUCUGGGGCAUCAGGAGAAGUAAAGGAGAAGCAACAGGAGCAGAGAUCGGAGCAGUUGGAGGGGAAAAAUAAGUAGCAAGAGUAGUAGAAGAAGUAGCAGCAGCCACAAUGUAAAGUAAUGGAGACCUCCGGCCAGGCCUGGGUCUCCAGCACCUUCAGGUUAACCUCCAUCCUGGUUUAUAGACGUUAGAAACUCUGUUAGGAUCAAGGGGAAUGAACUGUUCUGACAGAGAGGGUUAGAGAAAAGAAAAGGGACUGUUUAGAGAAUCACUUUCAGUAAUCUUGUGUCUCCUAAAAGCUAGAAACAGUUUGAAGAAUGUUUAGAUUCUAAAUCACUUUCCCCCAAAACUGCUUGGACUGAGAGCCUGACGCUGGAGAGCUGAGACGGCUGUGUGCAGUUCUGGGAGCAACCACACUGAGCCAUUACCUGAAGGACGAUCAUAUCCACUGCAGUAGCGUUGUCGUUGAAUGCUGUAAUUGUUUCCUGGACCAUUUGGUGCCCAACGGCUAGCGAGCGAAAACAGAAGGAUAAAGCUUUGAAGGGGGCAGUAGCUUUGAAGUGUUCUUGAAGGACUGGAUCUCAGGUCACCUGACACUUGGAAACCACUCAUUGUUGAAAAUUCCCCGAAAACAAUCAGAAAGGCUGCAUCUGCUAAGACCUGGAGGAAUCUGAAGACUAAUAAAUACAAUUUCACUGACAGUAACAAGGCCCAGAACUGAAGACCUGAGGGACUCCCUUCAUCUGAGACUUUGCUGUUACUUUGGGCUCCAACGUGGACCUGCCAGUUAUUCUCACUUCACUGCAUUCCACCGCUGAUCAUUUUAAAUAAUAUUAACAUUGUUGGAGCCAUUUAUGUUAACUGUUGGCAUUGGGGGUGGGGGAAACAAUCGAUACAGCCUAGUCACUGUAGAUUGUAGCAUAUCGCUCUGAAAGACGGUCGCAAACUUCACUGAUAAUUUCUAAUUUAUUGAAAA